rnacentral:sRNA from 1 species
UAGUGACUUAAUGAUGAGCUUGGCCCAC